AGAUAUCUUGAUUUUAGUGGGCAAUUUAUCACAAGAUUACAUGAAAGUUUGUGUGAAUUAUAUAAUUUGCACACUUUAGAUAUUUCUUGGAGUAGCGUAACUGAAUUACCUAGUGGCAUAGUAAAAUUAGUAAAUUUGAGGCAUUUAAAAAAUGAGACAUCGUCGUUGCUUUGCACACCAAAAGGGAUUGAGAAAUUAACAAGUCUCCAAACAUUAUCAGAAUUCGUUAUAAGCUGUGGUGGUGAUUAUGAUAGCAGAGCAUGUAGUCUUGAAGGAAUUAAAAAUUUGAAUAAUCUUGAAGGGAGCCUUCGAAUAAGAGGGUUGGGAAAUAUGACAAAUGUGAGUGAUGGUAAAAUAAAAGAAGUACUCAAGAAUAAGAAAUACCUUACCGGUUUGUAUCUGCAAUUCGAUAAGGGAACGGAAAGAGUUGGUUUCUUUAGGGAUAUGGUCUCCUGGAAAAUUGCUGAAGAAGGGGAAUCGUGUGAGGAUUAUGAAGUAGUCCUUGAAGCUUUACAACCACCUCCAGAAUUAGAGUGGUUGUCGAUUACAUACUACGCAGGCAGAACUUUCCCCUCCACUUGGAAGACGUCAUUAACCAAGAUGAAGAGUUUAAGUCUUGACUGUUGCCUAAACUGCAAGAAUUUGCAUACUUUGGGAGAAUUGUCAUCCCUUGAAGAACUAUCUAUAGAUAGCAUGAGAAAUGUGAAAAAAAUGGAUAAUGAAUUUUGGGGAAUUGAUAGUGGAGCCUCUUCAUCCUUUGCUUUCUUCCCCAAAUUGAAACAACUCAAAUUUUCGGGAUUAGACGAAUGGGAAGGGUGGACUUACGAGAGUACAAAGAAAGGAGAAGAAGAAGAAGAACAUAUUGGAUUCAUGCCAUGUCUUGCUACCUUGAGAAUCGGUUACUGCAACAGAUUAGAGGCACCGCCAAACAGCCUUCUGCAGAGGACAACACUCAAAAAAUUGGAGAUUAGUGGAUGUCCUAUUCUAGAAGAACGAUACAAAGAAGGAACAGGAGAAGACUGGUCCAAGAUCUCUCACAUCCCUACCAUCAAUAUUGGAAUAUAAAUGGGUCAAACGGAAGCAAUAAAUAUCAACCCACUAGCCACAGGCUUGGAAAAAAUUGACCCAAGUCUGGUAUUCACAGAUGCAAUGACUUUUCUGGUGCUACUCAUGUCUGAUAUGAGAAACCCCAGUCGUGCAGAGACCAAAUUUUACCUGGAUUACUAUAUAAAUAAAUGAAGUUGCGCAAAACCAGAUGGGCAGCCGAAAAACCCCCACCGUUCGCCGGAUUCCGGCCAUUUUGGGCCACCCUUGACCUCCCCUUGUGCCGGUUCAUCUUCCACCAUCAUCUCCACCGUAGAUAUAACGGAAUCGGGGGACGUUUGGGCUUCCUUCGUGCGACCUUUCAUCUUCCGGCGAAGGUUUGGCUUACAUAUUGUGAAUCUUCGGCUUCCAGGCGAGUUUUCGCUCACUUUCCGGUGUCAAUGCUAAUAAUAAUGAAUCAAUGUUACAAGUUAGAGUUUUUCCAAUGGGAAAAGGAAUUUAAUUUUCGAAGUGGCCAUAAUGCUUUUUGAUGUACAGGACAGAGAUAGCAGAAAGUGACCAACAGGAGAAGAGAGGAGGACUUGCUAUAACAUCUUUCAUUUCUGUUACCUUUGUGAGCUCUGUUUUUGAUUUUCUGCAUAAGGUCUCUGUUUUACCUUUGUGAGCUUUGAUGCAGUGACCAAGUUUAAUGUAUCCUAAAUAUUUUUGAAGAAAUCAAAAGACUAUAAGCAGAGAUAUGACAGGAGCUCUUAUCAUACUGGAGAAGAUUGACAGAGGCAAUUAGCCUUGAAAUAUAUAGCAUAACAUCUCCUUACUUCUUAAGGUUGCAACCUGUUCUUUUAAGUGGGGAGGGUGAUUAUGGGACCAACCACAGGAGGAAGGAGUUAUUCUAAAUGACUUUACUCAGAAAUGGAGAAUUAUCACUUGAAGUUGCUAGAAAGGAACAAUAUUGUGUUUCUGCCCCAAAGAUCAAAUUGAUUAGUUAUGCUUGGUAACUUCUCUCUUUUUUUUCUUCUUUGGUUUAUGUUUAAUCAAAAAUACUAUUACAGAGUAUCUAGCUUAUUAUCCUGUGUUUCUUCACACGCAGUUGAUUUGCUACUAAGGCUAUCUAUGCUGAUAAUAUAAUACUCUGUUACUGAUCAGCAGAGAAAAUACUCAAGAACUCAAUGUCUAGGUUUCACAUUUGCUUGGUGGGCUUCCUGAAAUUUACAUUUGCAUUUCCUUCAUGCUUUUUAUCUUUCUUGAAAAUAAAUUGCUACUGACGAUAGACACUAUCUUAUGAGCAUAUAUCAUUUUUUUCACCAAUGUUGCUGAAAAGAACUUGUGAUUAGGGAAUGGAUUUAUGCUUCACAUACAGAAUAUCUUUAAUCCUAUAUAAUAGUUUCUAUUUCGUGUCACAGUGUGGUUUUAGUAGUAAGUGGUCAUCCAAUGAUGCAUUUUGGUGACAAGUCCAGCAUCAUGGUAGGCAUGAGUAUGCCAGACAGCGAAAUCUAAUCAAAGAAACUUACGAGCUUGGUCUUGGUCAACCCUGAAAAUCAAUCUUGUUAUCUCCAAGAAUAUCCUGUGAUACAACCUGCACAAUGGAUAAAAUCCAUUUUUAUUUUCUCUUCUAGGAGAAUUCGGACACAACUCUAAUGUGUUUUGAGCAGUUUCCGCAUCAACAAAAAACAUUCACCAGCUCCGUCAUUAAUUUGUUCCAUCAAACAAGAUGCCCUUGUCCGCAGGCUAUGGAAUGUGCACAUUCAUCUUCAGGGUUAACCAUGGAAGAGCAGAAUUUCAACCUUUGGCUUUCCCUUGAUGACAAGCUUUCAUUCAUGCAAUGGAAUUUGGAGCUUCUUGUGUUCCAAUCAUGUCAGUAUACAACUCAACCAUAUCCUUCACCAUUUGAAGUGACAUUAAUCAAUUUACCAGUCAUGCUAACAAGACUCUACAAAGAAAUUCUGGGGAAAAGUUACCUGAAAGUUUGUGUGUUGCACACUUUAGAUAUUAGUGUGAAUGCUACAGGAAUUACCUCAGGACUGGAAAAAUGAGUUAAUUUGAGGCAUUUAUUAAAUGCCUCUGUAUCACUAACUUACAUUCCAAAAGAGAUUCAGAAAUUAAGUGUUUCUUGCCCUACAAUAGACGAGAGAAGAAGAAGUCAAUCUAAAUGAUUAGGAAAAGGAAUCAAAUUAAUUGAUGUGCUGCAAAAGCUGAUUAUGUGUGUAAUCUAAAUAUCUGUUACUGAUCAAGAGAGGAAAUAUACAUAAGGUCACAGAUUCUAGGAACAAAAUGAAAAUAAGCGAGAUGAAACCAGUGUCCAAUAUCUGGUUUGCACAUUUGCUUGACAUGGUUGCUACAAAGAACGUCUGAACAGUGUCUGCAUCAUGCCAGCUGAAAUGAGUGAGACAAAAAACAUUCAUCAGCUCCAUCAUUUGUUCCAGAUUAGGAAUAAACUGUGGAUAUUAUCUGUGUCUCCCAUUUCUGUGGCAACUUGUGGAGCAAUUAAAUUAGAUCCAUCUUCUUCAAAGUCCAUCAACGAAGAGUACAGAAUCAGCAUAGGCUUCACCACAUCAAGAUGCCUGAAAAAUGAUCUUCCGUUUUCAUUGUUAAGUUUUGUAGCUAACCAUGAAUUAAGUCUCCAAGAACAACAUUACAACCCUUGGCUUUCCCUUGAAAACAAAGCUUGCAAUGGAGUCUCGAGUUUCAUGUUCAACUAAACAAUAUCCUUCACCAUUUCGAAGUGCCUGAACAUUGAAGCAAGAUCAUAAGUAAUACCGUUUUCAAGUUUUAAUGAGUUGUUUGUUGGAUCCAUUUCCUUUUUCUUCAAUUGUCUGAUGGUUAAUAUGGUUAGUAAUGCAUUAUUGUUUGUCUCUCAGCUUUAACAGUUGAGGUGGAAAACAUUUGCAGACUACUGAAAAGCAUUUAAAACAGAGCAUCUUCCUGAAACUCAAUUAUGCAGCUUAAGGGAGUUUUGACCAUUCUCAUCAUUAUUUCAGAAAUGAUAGAUCAAACAAGUAUA